rnacentral:tRNA from 1 species
CCUAGCUUAGCUCAGUUGGCAGAGCGUUUGACUGUAGAAAACAAAAAUAACCAUCAAAUGGUCGCUGGUUCGAUUCCGGCAGCUGGGA